AUAAUUAGAAGAAAGAAAUAGAGCCAUGCUUACCUGAAUUUUUCCGAAUAUUUUCGAUCUCUUGCAUCCGUAUGAAAAGCUUGUAAAAUCUUUUGAUUCUUGAAGCACAUGGAGAUACGUGCGCAAUACAAAAUCUUGUUUUGACCGCUCCCCUCAUUUAACAAACGUUCCUGAAGCUUAAUUAUCCCCCCCCCCCGGAUUACGACAUCUU